UUCAGUCAAUGAAAAAUGAGUAAACUUGUAUAUAACGUUUCGUUUACAAAGUUUCGCUAGUAUACUAUUUUCUUUUGUCAACUCAAAUCAAACAUGAAUUUCGCCAACCUAAUUUAUUUGUUAUUGUUCGAAGCUGUAUCUUCAACGUCAUCGCAUGUAGUAUUUGAAGAAAAUAAAUCUCUUUGUAAUCCAAACCCUUGUGGAAAAGGGAAUUGUGUUGAUUUAGAGAAUACUUUUGAGUGCGUUUGCCCCCCGGAUGGAUUUACUUACGUCGAUAAUUGCAUUCCAAAAAACUGCUUUCCGAAUCCAUGCAAAAAUAAUGGUACUUGUGAACCUGCAACUAUAUAUGACCUUUCGUAUAAAUGUGCAUGUCAGAAAGGAUUUCAUGGAAAAAACUGUGAAGCAGAAACAAAUAAUCCUUGCAAACUGAAUCCGUGCAAAAAUAAUGGCAAAUGUAGUUCUAAUGGAGAUAAAUUCAAUUGCAUCUGCAUGGAAAACUUUAGAGGACCUACUUGUGAAGAACAUCCUUGCAGUCAAAAUCCGUGCAAAAAUAAUGGGACUUGUGGAUUUGAUGGAGAUAAUUACUUCUGUACCUGCAAGCAAAACUUUAAAGGGCCAACUUGUGAAGAAGCAAAUAAUUUUUGUGUUCCAAACCCUUGUGGAGAAGGAAUUUGCGUUGAAUCAAAUAAUACCUUCUCGUGCAUUUGUCCCUUGAAUGAAAUUUCUUACCUCGAAUAUUGCAUUCCAAAAAACUGUUCUCCGAAUCCUUGCGUAAAUGGUGGCAUUUGUGAGCCUUUGACGCAAAAUGACCCUCCAUAUAAGUGUGUAUGUCAGAUGGGAUUUCAAGGAAAAAACUGUGAAUCAGAAACUAAAAAUCCUUGCAUCUCUAAUCCCUGCCAAAAUAAUGGAAUUUGCAGUUCUGAUGGAGACAAAUACAAUUGUACAUGCAAAGAGAAUUUUAGUGGAACUAACUGUGAAGAGCCACAAACUAAAAAUCCUUGCAUCUCUAAUCCCUGCCAAAAUAAUGGAAUUUGCAGUUCUGAUGGAGACAAAUACAAUUGUACAUGUAAAGAGAACUUUAAUGGAACUAAUUGUGAAGAACAAACUAAAAAUCCAUGCAUCCCUGAUCCCUGCAAAAAUAAAGGAAUUUGCAAUUCUUAUGGAGACAAAUACAAUUGUACAUGCAGAGAGAAUUUUAGUGGAACUAACUGUGAAGAGCCACAAACUAAAAAUCAUUGCAUCUCUAAUCCCUGCAAAAAUAAUGGAAUUUGCAGUUCUGAUGGAGACAAAUACAAUUGUACAUGUAAAGAGAACUUUAGUGGAGCUAAUUGUGAAGAACAAACUAAAAAUCCUUGCAUCUCUAAUCCCUGCCAAAAUAACGGAAUAUGCAGUUCUGAGGGAGACAAAUACAAUUGUACAUGUAAAGAGAACUUUAGUGGAACUAAUUGUGAAGAACAAAUUAAAGAUCCUUGCAUCCUUAAUCCUUGCAAAAAUAACGGCAGUUGUAAUUCUGAUGGAGAUAAAUACUCUUGUACAUGCAAGGAAAACUUUAGAGGAACUAAUUGUGAAGAACUCAAAGAUCCUUGCAUGCAAAAUCCUUGCAAAAAUAAUGGUAUUUGUAGUUCUCAAGGAGAUAAAUAUCACUGUACGUGUUCAGAAAACUUCAGAGGACCUGCAUGUGAAGAACACUUUUUAAUUGCAUUCCUCAGGAUAUGAAGAUUUUUGUAGUCUAAAUCCUUGCAAAAAUGGCGGUAUUUGCAGUUCAGAUGGAAAUACUUACUACUGCACUUGUUUGGAAAAAUUUAAGGGACUGAAUUGCGAAGAAUCUCAAGAUCCUUGCUUGCAAGAUCCAUG
rnacentral:misc_RNA from 1 species